rnacentral:misc_RNA from 1 species
AAGUCGUAACAAGGUCUCCGUAGGUGAACCUGCGGAGGGAUCAUUACCGAGUGAGGGUGCCCCGCCAGGCCGCCGACCUCCCGACCCUUUGUUUUGACCUAACACCUCAGUUGCCUCGGGGGUGACCCGGCCCUCGGCCGGGGUCCGGGGCCCCCGCUGGACCGACCACACUCAACGCUGCAUCUCUGCGUCGGAGUCAUUGAAGCGAAUUCAAUCAAAAG